UUUAUGUUCCACCUCCUAGGGAACAAAAAUUCCACAGAUUUUAUGCCUUCUGGGGUGGGCCAGCUCAGGCCCUUGGACAGAUGAAGGAAGAGGAUUUGCACAUUGUUCUUGAUGAACCAGAGCUGAAGGAUGCUUCCACAGAUUGUCUUCACAGCGAGGCCCUGUCAUUAUAAUAAAGGAGUAGUGAGUCCAUCAGAGUCUCCUCCAGAAAGUAGAAAUCUUGGUUCAAGCAGUCAUGGGACUCAGGCCUGGAAUAAUUUGUUUAGUGAUGGGAGAGGACAAAGUGGGGUUUGGUCUACACCCUAUCGCUGGUCUCCUGUGGGGACACUUCAGUGAGUGUUUUAGCAAUAAGAGGACCUGUAUUUAUCCUUUUCAUAACCUUUUCUGGAGCAGAGAUUGAAGGAUGACGAUGAAA